GACGAACGCUGGCGGCGUGCUUAACACAUGCAAGUCGAACGGGCCUGUCUUCUUUUUUGGGGGUGGGUUGAGUGGCGAACGGGUGAGUAUCACGUGAGUAACCUGCCCUUCGGUCCUGGAUAACCGCUUGAAAGGGCGGCUAAUACGGGGUGGUCCGGUUGGUCCGCAUGGGCUGUUCGGGCUAGAUUCACUGUUUUUGGUGUUUCGGCGGGGGAUGGGCUCGCGGCCUAUCAGCUUGUUGGUGGGGUGAUGGCCUACCAAGGCGGUGACGGGUAGCCGGCCGGAGAGGGUGGGCGACCACAAUGGGACUGGGAUACGGCCCAGACUCCUGCGGUAGGCAGCAGUGGGGGGUAUUGCACAAUGGGCGGAAGCCUGAUGCAGCGACGUCGCGUGAGGGAUGGAGGCCUUCGGGUUGUGAACCUCUGUUUCCGGUGGUGAAGGCCCUGUCCGUGUGGUGGGGUUGACGGUAGCCGGGGAUGAAGCGCCGGCUAACUACGUG
rnacentral:rRNA from 1 species